UCUUAGUUACAAAUGCCACAUCGUAUUAGUGAGUGUCUCUAAAACAUACCACUACUCUAACGCUGUGUUUUAUCAGGAACUGCGAGUUUACUGGCAUUUGGCUUUUAGCCAGAGAAUAUAAAAAUUAAUGGAAUAUGUAGAGGAAGGUGGAUUUGGAGAUCAGUGAGCUUUUUAGUUGGAUGGUGUGUUUGGAGUAGGCUACAGGGGUAUAUUACCGUAUCUAAAUCAUUUACAAUGUUCGUGUUACACACAUGGACUUUUUUUUGUUCAACACACACAUGGACUUAGUUGAUGAUGUUUGCUCUAAAUCUUAAAAUUCAUAAUGUAACUGUUGGAUCUGCAAAUCAUCAGGUUAUAUUGUUCAUUUUCGAAAGCUGGUUUUUUUUUUGGUCUAAAUGUUAAGAUUUAUACCACUUUUUAAGUUUUUUUCAAUAUUGUGAAGCACAACUUAUUACAUGCUAAAAAUAAAGGAGAGAGAGAGUUUGGAUCAUUAACUAUAGGGAAAAAGGAACCAGAAUUACAAUUCGAGCAAAGGAGAGGAAGUAGACGCUAGAGCUGGUUAUUCUUACGUUUGAUGAUCAACCGGAAUUGAGAACAUUUGUUGGAGUACUCCUCCUGUUUUUAAUUAGAAUUUUUUUUUGUGAAUUUUGUAUAUAAACUGCAAAUCACUGAUAACAAAGAAAAAAGAAGACAAUGUCUACGUAUGCACCUAAAACCAUCUCAUUGCUUUUCUGAAAAACGUGUUUUAGUAAAUACUAAGAAAAACUAAGCAGGAAAAUCAGUGAUAAUUAUUUUUGUGUGUUGAAGACUUCAUAAUUAUCAAAGUGUCCUUUAGUAAUACAACAAAAAACGAUUCCCUUGGCUCCCAACGCCAACUCCUACAUCUCCACCAUCAUUGCCCAUGAAAAUAUGGGAAGCCAAUAAGAUCGUGCAAGAAAAGAAAUUAUCACACUAUGAUCUACUUCAGCAGAAAUACAACAAUUUAAAACAAAAGAAUCAUUUUUAUUUUGAAGAAUACAUUUAAAAUCAACUUACCAGCAUCCUACUAAAAUACGGAAUCACACUAACUCAAGAAUCCUUUACGUGUGACCCAAUACAUAGAUCGAUAUACACUCGAACUAAGGAUUUAGUGACUUUUGAUGUUUCAGUAGCUCGACAAUCCACGUAGGAAUCCUUAACCUGUUAUGGCCUUUGGGGAUCUAUGCGACAAGAAUCCUAUGCUCAAUAUGUCAUUGCUUGAUGGUUUUCAAUUCCACCGGUCUUCUUCCAUAUACAUGGGUUUACAUAGAUUAAGUAAUUGUAUGAUUAUUCUUUAUAUAAAUUAUAUAUCCAUAACCUUUUUUUGUUAUCAUCAGAGUGAAUAUAUAAUGUUUUCGAGUACAUUCAUCUCAUCAGUCCGUACAUAGAAAUAUAACAAGCAUUACUAAAUAUACUAAUAAAUAUUUUAGUAAGAGAAUAAUUAGUAAGUGAAAAUAAAUACAUCCUUUAGAAAUGAAGCCAUAACUGAAAAGAAAAAGUAAAGUUACAAUAACAUAGACCACUCCAUGCCCCCAAACAUGGAGUUCAGUUUUCUAAAUUUCUAAUGCACGUGUUCAAUGUUCAUACUGACCUAUAUCAACUAAUCAAGUUUUUUUACGAAGAGGUAUGUUUUUCUGAACAGUAAUCGAAAGUGAUGAAGCUAUUGGUAACUUUUCUGGAGCCAAUUUUUGGUGUUCCUUCUAAAAACAAUUUUCAUAGGAGUUAAUUGACUACAUAUUUUUCCCCAGUGAUGUGAUCUUCACCGGUAUAUGUACAUGUUAUGAGAGCAUUUCUAUUGAGAAUCUUAGAAUUCAAUAUUGUCGGGAUAUACAACAACCACGUACCCCGCGCAAGCGCGGGGUUGACGAACCCUAGUGUUAAUAAGAAGUGAGCCAAAUUCUUAGUGUUAAUACCAUUAGUGUUUGGAUCUCAUGGAAUCAUGUACAAUAAACUCAGCUAAUAGAAAUAAUAAAAAUAUCAACCUUAGAAGUUAAUUCUAUGUAUUCAAUAGCAAAUUAGCAAUUUAUCCCACAACUCAUAAAAAAUAUCCAAAUUCACCUCCACUGACCUCAAUUUAAAAAUUAAGUUGCAGUCGAAACGAUGGGGUAUCGAUCAUUUGACACCUUUUUUAUGAGUUGUGGGAUAAAAGUGGUUAGAUUGCUAAUUUGCUAUUGAAUACAUAGAAUUAACUUCUAAGGUUGAUAUUUUUUUUUCUCUUGUAAAAGUUAGUGAUUAGAUCAUGUUCUAAAGAAUAUGUGAGUUCUCAUGUUUUUCAAACCUUUUCACCAUAAGUUUUUGUUUGUAUGUACUUGAAGACAAGCAUCAAGUCUGGGAGAACUGAUAUAUUGGUGUUUUUUUUUAUAAUUUCUAACCUAUGUUUUGAGUAUUUUGUCAAGUCAAAGUAUGUCUUUUGGUAUUUUACAGAUUUAAGUCUAUUUGAAAAAAAAACAACUUGGACGCCAAAAAGAAAAUGAAGAUGCACAAUUUUGCAGAUGCGUCAUACGUUUAGCAAUGGAUGGAAGACUUUCCACAGUGUGAUUGAACUAAAAAAUUUACACAAGCUAUAAAAUUGAAUUAAUUUCCGAUACCGGUUUGAGAUCAAUCCAUUGUCAUAUCAAAAUUUAUGUGCAUUUUACUGAAUAUUGGUCUGUGUGCCGGUUUAUUAUGAGAAAAAUGAAAUUUUUUGUUUCUUUAUUUUUGGUUUGAUUAUGCCUAAAAUUUGACAAGAACGUGUUUUUGACUCAUAUCUCUUAUUUUGAGCCAUUUAGGCUAAGUUUUGUUUUUUUAUAAUAGAUUUUUAUGUCUUAGAGUUUUGAGAGACGAGAGAUUUUUUUUUUUGAAUCCUUGUCAUUGAUCUUGUGUUGUUUGGUUAUGUCUGAGUAUCUUUGUAGUGAGGUUUUAUAUUUUCAAAGGAAUUGAAGAGAAUGAAUGUUUAUGAUUGCUUAAUUAAGGAAUCUUCAUCAGAUUUAUUUGCUUGGAUUGUUUUUAUAUAUUGCUUGAACUUGAUUGAUCACCUAUUUGAUGAUCUUAAGUUAACUGAAUGCAGCAGGAGUUUAUUUGAUUUAUACUAGAAAAUGAUCCAUGUGACCAAAGUGUCAAUAGCCAAUGGGAAUUGAUCUUAAUGCGUUUUGUAAACCUAUCGAAACUCGAACUUAAUGCACGUCUUAUCUCUUAGGUUCAAUCGGAGUUAGUUCUCUCUAUAUUGUUAGACAUAAUGUUUUGAGCUACGUAAGUGUUUUAGUCUUAGAAUGGCGCUCAUUGAUUACUUGAUAGUUACAUGCAUUCAUAAUUUGAUUUCAUGCGAUUUCUCUAGUGUCUAACUCUUUUAUUUCAUUGUUUAUAUUUUUCAUAUUUAUUUUCUGCUUGACUUAAGGAAACAAAACCCCUUUUUCGUUUUAGCUUAACUCUAUUUUGUAUACUUGUUGUGUAACUUUGGUUUCUGUGGAUUUGACCUUUACUGUACUAGUAUGAUUUGUGUGCACUUGCGGUGUGAUUAAAUGGUUAAAAUUUUGAGCUGUCAGAAUACGACUUCGACAUUGUGUAUUGCACAGUAAAAGCCAAUUAACUGGUCGAUGCACUAAGUAGGCAGAAGGAUGUCUUGGAAGAAAGAAGUUGAUGAGCUUCUAGUGGUUUUGGAAAAUCUACGCUUGUGCACCACCACUGUUAAAACAUGCAGUCAUUCUAAAUUUAUUAGGCCAUGCAGAUUUGUUAUGGAUAAUAUAAGAGACACAUAUAGGGGACAAUGUUGUGCGGGCGUUAAAAUGGAAAAGUGGCUGCAUACCACAUUACUGCGAAUGGCACAUGUUUAUUUCGGAAUAGGACAUGUUCCCCGAGUUAAACAAAUUCGGCAAGGUAUUUACAUGAAGCACACCGAUCAAAAAAAAUCUAUGGUUAUGAAGAGAGACGUAAGUCCGUAACUCUAUGGGUAUCAAAUGACAAAUAAGCCAGAUUCUGAGGGUAGAACACCAAAUUACUAUUGAAUAUGUCUAUACCAAAAUGAAAUGGGGUAUGGUAACUAUGGACUUUAUAUCAAAAAUUUAGUACACAAAUAUGUGGUUUGGAAAAUUGUUGAUGGCCAUUCUAAUAUUUUUACUGGGCAUAUAAUUUCCAUAUACAAAUUAUAUACCAUGUGUAUAUCAAAAUAAUGUGUCAUUCUUUUUUUUUUUUUUUUUUUGCAACAAACAACUAUUCUAUUACUCAAACUUGAAAUGGGCUGGAUAACCAGAUCGAAAUACAAUAACUAACAAAACAAAGCUCUCUUUGAAAGACCGAGCAGACCUAGCUAAAGAAUCAUCAUUAAUAUUACGCUCUUAGGAUGUGGAUAUCCUGAAAUCUGGGAAACAUAUCUAAAAAGUUGGUAUCGCCUCCAAUUAUGUCGCAAAGCUCAACCAAACUUGAGGUUCCUAUAUCAUUAUAAUUAGAUCUUUGCAAUAAGUCCCGAAGGUCUAACAUGGCGAAUAUUGAAUCCAGAGGCAGACCUACAUAGAAGAAUGGGGGUACAAAGAUGGAUGAACCUUACAGUGGACUCUUUAAUAGAUCCUAUUUCGCGAACUUGGAACUCGCAGGCUCUUCGGGUUUUAGUGGAUCCCCAGGAUGUGAAAAUAAUUAAGAGUAUACCUUUGAGUAGGAUACAAGGUACAAAUAAAGAUGGAUGGCAUUUCACAAAUAAUGAGAGAUACACGGUUAAAUCGGGCUACUAGGUGGAACAGGCUUAUCCAGAUAGGAAAAAACCAUUGACUCUGUUUGGCCCACAGUAGAUGUUUUGAAAGCGCUCUAUUGGACUAUACGAUGUCCACCAAAGUUAAAACAUUUUUUGUGGCAGAUGGUUUCAGGGUGCAUAGCGGUUUAAAAAAUAUGAAUGCAAGGAAUAAAAGGGGAUGUAUGUUGUGCGAGAUGUAGAGAUCCCGAGGAAUCAAUAAACCAUGUAUUUUUUAGUGUCCUCCAGCGAUUCAGGUGUGGGCGCUCUCCAAAAUACCAUCAAAUCCGGCUAUCUUUCCAACAAGCUCGCUUUUCACAAAUAUGGAUCACCUAUUUUCGAGAGUUAUCCCGAAAAUGGAUGAUCACUAAUUUGCAUGGAUUUCAUGGUAUAUUUGGAAAGGCAGGAAUAAUAAAGUCUUUAGUAAUAUUGAUAUAGACCCCAUGGAUACUCUUAAUUUGGCAGAUUUCGAAUCCAUUCUAUGGGCGGAGGCACAAACUCUGCAUACAAAGGUGGUACCAAACAUAGAAGUGGGGAAUUUACCAUCAAUUCCAGGACGAUGGUGUUUUGUGGGUGCAUCCUGGAAAGAAUGUGACCCAAUGGCCGGACAAGGUUGGUAUAGCAUUUUAGAAGGUUUUGACGGUUUGAUGGGUGCAAGGAAUGUUAGGGCUCCUCUGUAUCCCCUUCACGCGGAGAUGAAAGCACUACUUUGGACUAUGGAAUGUAUGCAAAACUUACGUCAAUUUCAGGUCACAUUUGCAACGGAUUGUUCCCAAUUGGUGAAGAUAGUUUCAGAACCAGAGGAAUGACCAGCUUUUGAAGCUUACUUGGAAGAUCUCAAGAUUUUGAAUGAUAGUUUUCACAGCUCACAGAUCAUUCAUAUCUCGCGGACGCAAAAUAAAAAGGCGGAUAGCCUAGCACGGAGUGCCAAGAGACAGCCGUCUUUCGUUGUCCAUAUGAAUGCGGAACAACCUUUUUGGUUUUCAGAGGCUACAUGAAUCUCUUUGUUGUUGUCAAAAAAAAAAUUUGUAAGCUUACUUUCUUACUGGAUAUUGGUUCAAUUGGUAACAGAUUGAACCCAAUGACCCCCCUUCCCCUAGUUAUCAUGCACACAUAAUUGUCUUCUUUUCUUUUGAUAUAAAAUCAUUAUUUGUUUUAGUUGAGCUUAAUGUAUGAAAUGAAUUUGAACUAUGAUCCAGAUAAAAAAAAUUCCUAGGUCCGCGACUGAUUGAAGCAUGCUUUUCAUAGUCCAUCUUAAUCUGUCAUUUAAAAAAAAAAAAAAUUCAUUGUCUUAUUAUAUAUGUAACGUCUGUAAAACAUAUUGUGUAGAAAAGUGGCAUGCAAAAAAAAAAAACUCGCACGAUAAGCAUGUUCCGAAAAAUAGACGCAUGAAAAUAAUCUAACCUAUACUAAAAGGAGGAUAUAUUGAUCAGAGAGGAUGUCCACGUCAGACAAUAAAAUCUACCAAUCAAAACAUAGAUAAUUGACACAUCAGAUGACACAUCCUCUCUUCUUCCAUCGACAACUCCUUUUCCUAAAAAUUAUUGUUUCCGCUUCGUCUUUUCUUCUGAACCCCUCUUCGAUCCCGCUUCAGCUUCUGUCAUCUCCUCAACCUCAGUUCCUGACGGUAACUCCGAUCUCAACCACGAGGUGUUCCCCGGAAUGGAAACUGUCUCAUCAAUCUCCCUGAAAGCUCACCAAUCUUCGUCCGUCGAACCUAGCUCGAAGCUCUUCCCCUUCUUUUCCUUACCACGGUGAUUGAAACUUCGAUGUUGAUUCCAAUCUAAAGCCUAAGGUAAUGUAAAGCCCUUUGCUUUCAAGUGUUUCGGGAAUGGGUUCUUUGCCAAGAGAUUGUUGAUUUGAUCAGAUUUAUCUUUGGGGGUUUUGUAAAGUUCUAGCCUUUAUGAUUUGGGAAUUGCUAUGUGUAGCUCAAGUAUUGCAAUGAAAGAGAUUGUUGAUUUGAUUUGAUUUGAUCAGAUCUGUCUCUGGGAUUUGUAAAGUUGGUAACUUUAUGAUUUGGGCAAUUUACAGAUAUGUAAGACGCAAUCAUUACCGUCCUCUUCAUCUUCUUCGUAAAAAGGCAUCUCCGACGCCAUGGUUUUCACAGAUUCUUUUAUUUUCCACUCGAUAUACAGAGACGAACCUUGAAGAACAAUGGCGACUUCCAAGAUACCACUUUCCGAAUAGAAGCCCGUGCGUUGCAGUCGAACCGUUGUCUCACGCUUCUCUGUUUUGGGAAGAUAUGGAAAUGAAGAAAGAUGGUGAACUUAAGGACAUGACAUGCCGCUUUUGGAUGAUAAGUUAGUAUUCUACUGAUUUUGUUUUGUUAUUGUUGUUACUUUGUUUCUGUCUUUUAUGGGUCUCAUUUUCACAUAAUCUCUUUUUUCCUACAUGCAUCUCUCAGCCAAGCUUCUCCAUCACCUAAACACAUUCAGACAACUUCUUAGGGAGAGAGCUAUGUAUGGGCUUAGUGGGUUUGAUGUGAUCAGAAGCAAAAACCAUUUCAAGCUUUCAGUUUCAGUUGUUGCGAUCAGACUCUACGAGUUUAAAGUCCUUGCUGUUGCUAAUCCCAUCCCAUUCAAGUUCAGUAAGCUCGAGCAAGUGAUAGCGUUGACAAAUACAAAUGUCCAGUUGCAGGUACAUCUUUCUAUUUUGCAGCUUCUGUUCUCAGUAGUUGAAUACUCAGACAUCUCAUGCCAGCCACCUCUUCUCUUUCAGACAUCAUUGGUUGAUAAGUAAUAUUUUUUCACAGCAGAAAUAUUUUGUUUCAUGUAUUUUGAUCACCACUCCUGUUAAUUUAUAAAUAAACUACUUACUUUCUAAGCAGGAAAAUGAUUGUCUGCUUAUGUGUUUUUGACAGCCUUAAUGAACUCUUUUACAAUAGACUGGAAACUGGUGUUUGUCAGCCUAGAGUGAUGAUAGCGACCAGCAACAACCCAAAGUUUGUAGGAGGUAAAUGUUCUUGAAAGACAAGCAGAUAUUUACCCCACACAUAUUGCAAAAAUGGUUUCAUAACAUAUCUUUCUUUCUUAUAUGAAGCAAGCAAUGGGAGUUGACAUACCUUUCUUGACGAGAAGGUUUGUCUCAUCUUUUUACCUUGAUUAUGUAGUAACAUUUUUUUCCACCUUUUUAGAUUUUCAAAGCUGUAAUACUUUCCUCAAAUUUGGUAUUGGUUUUCCCUUCCUCCGUGAAGCUCGAGUUCUCUUAUAUUUUUUUGGUAAUCAAUUCUCCAAGAUGAUUCGUUCUAAAUCUGUAGUAAAACCCAACAUCUUAAUCAUUUUAUGACUCACAUAAUUGUACUUUAUUUCUUUGGCGUUGACUCUAAUGAUUGUGGUAGUUGUUGAUAUGACUUGAUUUUAGUUGUUCUGCCUAGGUUCUUCCAUGGGAGGUAUAUUGAUAAGGAAAGUGGAAGUGAUGUUGAAGUGAUGUUGAUCCAAGGGGAGUGUACAUUCAAGAAGGCACUCAAGAUAAAUAAAAUCUAUAGGCUGGAAACUACCACUGCACAUGUUCAACCUGCUUUAGGCCGCAACACUUUUAAGGAGACACUGGUUCUAGCAGCGGAGUGUACUGUACACUCAAGAAGGCACUCAAGAAAAUCAAAUCUCUGACAAGAGCUAGAUCGCUGCUUCUGGAAUGCAUAAUCCACAAAGGGGAUGAGUUCUCUUUCACCAGUGGUUUAAUCGGCUCUUUCAACUCUCUUGCCAGCUUAACUCUCCUAUUUUUCGAGCAAUCCUCUAGCGUCGAAUUUGUUAUUCUGUAGUCUUACAAUUUAGCUAUCAAAAUAGUAUGAUCAUUAUACUAAUCUUGAUUACAACACUAAACAAAGAAAAGAUAAAAACUAUUUUUCUAACAUAAGCUUGCUAAGUUUUAAUAAAAAGAGUAAAAUGUUAUUAAAAGUAUCUUUUUUGAUUAUGCGGAAAAAAGAAUUCAAAAUAACUAUAUGAUUGAUUAGGAACAAAAGGUUGAUAAAAGUGGGUUGGUUUAAAGACUUUACGUGGUAACUAACAAAAGAAAAAAAAUAUAAAUCAACAAUCUAUAUUUAUAUACUAAAAUAAUUUAUGUUUUCAAUUAACAGUUUCAUAAAAAUGAUCUAUCAAAAAUUACUGAACAAAGGUUAACAGUAUCUUAAUAAAUCCAUACAUAAAGCUCGCUAAGUUUUCAUAAAGUAUAAGUAAAGUUUUAAUCAAAAAGAGUUAAAUGUUAUAAAAGUAAUUUUUUUUCUUGCUUCUGAAUAAAAAAAUUCGGAAUACCUAUGUGAUUAUAGGAGCACAAAAAUGAUUAAAGGUGGAUUUGUUGGAAGACUUCACGUGGUAAUCAAUUAAAGAAAUAAAUUAUAUAGACAAUAAUAUAUAUUUAUAUAUAGUAAAAUAAUUUUGAUUUCAAGUAACCAUUUCCUAAAAAAUGAUAAAUCAGAAAUUAGCAUAUAACAUAGUUAUUAUAAUAUCUUUUUGUCAACUUUAUUAUAAUUUCUAUACAAAUAAAGUUGAUCAUUCCUUUUACAGAAUGACACAUCAUCAGCUUUCACAAGUUCAGUCCCACCAACGAGUCAAUAUUAGUGUUAUUGGAUUUACAAAUUAUUUCUAAUUCGACCAUGUUCGGUUAUUUUGUUUCACUCCUUAAUCUAUUAACAUUAUUGGCCAUAAAGUUCAUACAGCAAAAAAAAAGCUUAUACACCAAACUGUCAGUGAUGAUACAUAUCACAGUUUUACACAACAAUGAAGCAUAACCGGCGUCAUCUCACCUCCCCCCGCCUCCCCCCCCCCACCCGUAACCAGAUCACAAUGUAACUUAUUUCAAUAAUGAUUCAUAAUUCAACUUAGAAGAAAUAAAAGAUGAUAUAAUACCACAAAAAAUAACGUAUAGUAUUUAGUGGUAAUUUUUAGCAUUUGGCUACAUGUAUAAUUGUAAGUUUUGUAUUAUAACUGUAAUUUUGAAAUAUUCACUAAAAUUAAUAAUAUAUUUAUGUAAUAUUUUUAGAUGCUAACCCGCCCGUAGGGCGGGCCAAACCCUAGUUAUACUAAAAACACUUAUAAAAGAACGAGGAAACAAUCAUCAUAUAUUGGUUAACAUGUUAAUUAACUUUAAAAAAUUA